rnacentral:rRNA from 1 species
GACGAACGCUGGCGGCGUGCCUAAUACAUGCAAGUAGAACGCUGAAGGAGGAGCUUGCUUCUCCGGAUGAGUUGCGAACGGGUGAGUAACGCGUAGGUAACCUGCCUGGUAGCGGGGGAUAACUAUUGGAAACGAUAGCUAAUACCGCAUAAGAGUAGAUGUUGCAUGACAUUUGCUUAAAAGGUGCAAUUGCAUCACUACCAGAUGGACCUGCGUUGUAUUAGCUAGUUGGUGGGGUAACGGCUCACCAAGGCGACGAUACAUAGCCGACCUGAGAGGGUGAUCGGCCACACUGGGACUGAGACACGGCCCAGACUCCUACGGGAGGCAGCAGUAGGGAAUCUUCGGCAAUGGACGGAAGUCUGACCGAGCAACGCCGCGUGAGUGAAGAAGGUUUUCGGAUCGUAAAGCUCUGUUGUAAGAGAAGAACGAGUGUGAGAGUGGAAAGUUCACACUGUGACGGUAUUUUACCAGAAAGGGACGGCUAACUACGUGCCAGCAGCCGCGGUAAUACGUAGGUCCCGAGCGUUGUCCGGAUUUAUUGGGCGUAAAGCGAGCGCAGGCGGUUAGAUAAGUCUGAAGUUAAAGGCUGUGGCUUAACCAUAGUACGCUUUGGAAACUGUUUAACUUGAGUGCAAGAGGGGAGAGUGGAAUUCCAUGUGUAGCGGUGAAAUGCGUAGAUAUAUGGAGGAACACCGGUGGCGAAAGCGGCUCUCUGGCUUGUAACUGACGCUGAGGCUCGAAAGCGUGGGGAGCAAACAGG